UACGUAGGGGGCAAGCGUUAUCCGGAUUUACUGGGUGUAAAGGGAGCGUAGGCGGCGAAGCAAGUCAGAUGUGAAAGCCCGGGGCUCAACCCCGGGACUGCAUUUGAAACUGUUUUGCUAGAGUAUCGGAGAGGUAAGUGGAAUUCCUAGUGUAGCGGUGAAAUGCGUAGAUAUUAGGAGGAACACCAGUGGCGAAGGCGGCUUACUGGACGAUAACUGACGCUGAGGCUCGAAAGCGUGGGGAGCAAACAGG
rnacentral:misc_RNA from 1 species